GACCCUGGUCUUAAUUUGGUCUCUAAACCAGUCUCUGGGCUUUCCAGUCCUAUCGACCCCAUUUAAAAAGAAUCCCCACCCCACCCCCAAAAAAAAAAAAAAAUCCAAACACCCAAAGCAGGUACCAAAGCUUAACAGCAGAAGUUAAAACUGCAAUUUUUUGUUGUAUCCAGGUGGGGUAAAGUCAGUGUGAACUCGCCUGCAGCAAGUCGGAUGGAGCAGUGUGAAAGGCAGUGGUGAAAACGUGACAGGGCAUCGCUUCACCUAAAGGUAUCUUGGAUUUCUGGCACGGAGCUGUGGGUAGGAGGGUGAAUGAGAACUGGGGAGGGGGGUGAGGUGGUGUUUUGGGGAGGGCAAGACCCUCAUUUCUGAUGAGAAAUGUUUUGAGUUUUGCCUGCUUUCCUCUGCUACCCCUUCCCAGCUCAGACAACUCUUCUCUUCUUCGGUGUGCUUGCCCAGGGCUGUUGUAUAUGACUGUUUAAACAGUGUUUAAACAGCCAUAAGCCUGUUUAUUUACGGAGGCUAUAAAUUAUCUCGAAAUCGGAAUUCAUCACCCUGCAAAUACCUUGUUUUAACAGGCAAGCUGGCUCUCGGCUAGAAUGACAAUAGCAAGAGACCUCCUGGCUGCUCUGCCAAGUCUCUGUCAAGGGCAAGUGUCCUUGCACGGGCGAUUGCUGCCUUCCAGAGAUCCAGGCAGGCUCCCAGGGUGGAUUUCUCUUGGUGGAUUUAUCUUAUCUUCCAGGCCUUAGCAGCGGUUGUCUCCAAAAGCAAGGAGGAGAGGCUGAUGUUAAUCAAGGAGUGAGCUUGUCCUAGCUUUUCCUCCUCACCCCAGUUGCUAAUGGGUAAGUCUGGUUUUGAAGCACGGGGCUCUUAACAACAGAGCCAUCAAUAUCCUGUUCGGCGUUAACUGGGGCUGUUUCCUUGACUAGUAGUUGUUCUGAGGCCUUGGACUUAGUAAGUAAUUGGAGAAUUUGUCUGAAAACACAUAAACAUCCUGAUUUCACUAUGCAAACUGUAAUUUCCUUGUCAGAUAA
rnacentral:lncRNA from 1 species